rnacentral:lncRNA from 1 species
UUUUUUAGAGAUGUAUGGGUUACAACUCCCAUCUAUGUGAUAGUCAACUUUUCCCCUUCCAAUGUUAAAGCUACUCAACCACGACCCCCAAUCAUCUCUGGUGAGCUCAGCUUGUCUAACUGCCUAAUCGGAUACCAAUAUUACAGAUUUACAGUCAACCUGUGUUCACGCUGGAGUUGUACGUUGGAUCACGGUUCCCACUGUGUGAGCACUGUUAUUUUUGUAGGAAUGAAAUUCCAUUAAACUAAGGACUCACUUCCUUGCGCUGCCAUAAUAUGUGAUUUGUUACAUAGCCUAGGAAAAUAACUAAAUCAGUAGCUAAUAAAAUUCAGACUCAAAAGGUUCAAUUUGUUGGCCCAAAAUGAUCUUUUCCAUUAACCACACCCACAAAGGCAGCUUGGGGUACAUAUUUAUAGCCAACCUUGGGUGGGUGGCUCACAAGCUAAGCAGAGCAUCUAAAGCAGUAGUUGGUGAUAAGGUGCACGUAGGCACGAACCACCCACAGAUACAAGUGCUCACAGGCACUAAGUGCAUACAGGCACUACUAUACAUUAUUCUAUCACCAUCAGGACUUAACUCUAACAUUCUCCCCCUAAGUCCUGAAAGGCAAACAAACCAUCCUAAGUCUGGUUCGGAGUUCUUGGAACUUGACUCUUCCUGAGUGUUGAUGUAGUUGCCUUGACGCUCCCUUCCUCCAAGCAGCCGCUUCAUGGAAGACAGGGUUCUUCGCAAGGCUUAAGCAGACUUGCUAUCUGGCAUCCAUCUACAUCGCGCUGCGCUAGGCCGCAUGUCCCUCAGCCUCAGCGAAGGAGCGAGGACUCGUCGUCGUCGCGCGUAAGGUGAAGCACGGCCUCGAGGUCAUGAGGCACCCGUCCCUGCACCGGCUAGUCGCCAAGAAUGUCCGCCAUGGUGCGGUACCGCAGUGGCUCGCCAUCGUGGUACGUGUUGACGCGGUCCUUGUCGUGAGGGAGCAAAGUGGCGAACUCCACCGAGCAGGGCUCAUUGUGAGCCGGUGUUGACGAAGUAGUGCUCGGAGGAGUGGCCGUCGGUGCUGGAGUGUGGCGUGGCCGGCUGUGGUGGUGGCGGUCGGGCGCUCGCCGUGCACGGAGUACUCGCCGGAGUCGGUGGAGGACUCACCGGCGCCGGUGAAGAGCUUGCCGUAAUCGGUGGAGACCCGGGGAUGAGGGUAGGCACGCUUGGCGAAGAAGAGCUGCCGACUCCCCCAGCUUCCUCAAAGUGGACGUAGUCGCUGUACGUCGAAGUCGAGCUGCCGUCCACCAUCUUGCCCUGCACCAUCUCCUUGGUGUCGAGCUAUUCCACCUCCGCGUAGAGGACGUAGAGGUUGUUCUUCCCCCUAUCCACCUUGGCGAGGAGGUGGCGUCAUCAAUCCCGGAUGCGGAGCAUUCCGCUGUCGAUCUCCACGUGCGACCCAUUCUCAUCCAGCUGCUCGAGGCUGAUGAUCGAGUUCCUCAGUGCGGGAAUGUAGUAGACAACGGUGAGGAGCCGGUGCUCACCAGUCUUGGCGACGAGAACGACGGAGCUGACACCCUUGAUCUCCAAGGCCGAAGAGUCGCCAAACUUGACGGAGCCGCGCACAUCGACGUUCAAGUCGGAGAAGUACUCCCGGCGCCCGAUCAUGUGGUGUGUGGCACCAGUCUAGGAACCAGCCGUCGAUCUUGUCGCUGGUACCCUCGUCGAGGGAGACGUGCGCGCAGCUCGUCGAGGUGGAGGAGAGCCGUCGCGGCCGAUGCCGCGAGAAGAAGCUCAAUGGUCCCGUGAGCUAGGAACAGAGUUGGCUCCUCAUCCUCCGCAGCCUGCGCAACGUGGGCCUGGCCGUGCCUUGGCUUGUGGCACUUCUGGCCCAAUGGCCAGUCUUGCCACAGUUGUGGCAGGUGUCGUCUUGUGCGGCCUCGCACUCACUGGUGACGGCACCCACGGCGCCUCCUUGCGCCUUGUGCGGCUUGCCGCGCUUGGCGGCCGCCUGUCAAGGAAGAAGACUCCCCCUUCUUCCGCUCCCUUUGGCGAGCAAGCCACUUCUCCUCAGUGAGGUGGAGCUUGCCACCGAUGGUGAUAGGCUCACUAGGCGUCAGCUCCUCGUGGUCCUUGAUCGCCUUGAGCCACCGUGUCGGCUCCUUUCUUGACAACGCUAAGAGGUCGAGUAGCGUCUCGAUGGAGAUAGCGAGCUACGAAUACUUUUUUGGAACGGCGUGCAAAAACUUUGCAACAGCUUUCUCCUCGUUGAUCUCGUCGUCGCUGUACCGCUCUAGCCGCUGCAUCAGGCUAGAGAGGCGGAGGGCGAAGUUGUCGACAUCCUUGCCCGGCUUGAAAGCCAAACGAUCCCACUCCAGCUGAACCUUCUUCAAAGUGGACUUGCCGGCGCGGUCGCUGCCAACUCGGGCAGCAGCGAUAGCGUCCCAAGUGGCCUUCGCGGUCUUCUUCCCUGAGAGGUUCGCCGUCAUCUCCAUCGGGACUGCGGUGAGCAGCGCCUCAAGCGCUCACCAGUCCUCGUGACUGUCGAAGUCGAUGUACUGGACCGCGUCCCACAUCUCCCGCACCUGGAGCUUCACCUUCAUCACCGUGGACCACUCCAUGUAGUUGGUCUUCAUCAACAUCGGCCACUGCGUGCUGCCGACGGACUCCCGGAUGAUGGUCUUCAUGACCUUCGGGGGUUGGUGCCCGUAGUCGAGGUCGGAGUCGAGGCCAGACUCGUGGACGGAGCUCCUCCUGUUCCGAGGACGCCCGCCGUCCGCGCCUCGACGCAGGUCCUGGACCCACCGGUCCACCUUCACGUUUCGCCGUCGGUUCGCCUCCUUCGGCUCAGGACGGCCGCCUUCCGCCUCGGCACCGGCGCCCUGCGCCGCAUGCCUUAGCUCCUCCUUGUCGUGCCACGCCAUCUCGCGCAUCGCCUCCGCCUCCUCACACAGCCGGUCCGCCUCCAGACGUCGCUGGGUAGCGGCCGCCGUUGCCGCCUAUGCCUCCUCGUCAGCGAGGCGGGCUGCCUUGGCUGCACGUGCCGCUGCGGUCUCCAUAGCCGCCACGCGUGCUGCCCGAGCCACAACCACCUCCCGCGCCUCGGCGUCGCGCAAGCUGCCGCGCGCUGCCGGUCCUCUCGCCUCGCGGCCUCCGUCUGCCGCUCCUCCUCGCGUGCCGCAGCUGCACGCCUUGCCCGGCACCGCUCCGCCAUUGCCUCCUCGACCGCCAUGCGCCGCUCCUCCUCCUCACGCCGCCGCUCCUCGGCCACCACCCUGCGGCGUCGUGCACUCGAAGUAAUCGAGCUGCUCGAGGAAGAGACGCGAGGAGGUCUGGGAGCGGGACGGGAGCGCCGACACCUUGCCGGCCGGCGGUGGCGCGUCGGCUGCCAGGCCCACGGGGCCCGCGCCCUGCGCGCCGGCGCCGCUCGCGGGGUUCGCACCGCCCAGUGCGCUCGUGCUGCUCACCAGCGCCUGCCACCUUGAGUCGGCCAUUGGGAGUCGAAGGGAGAAGGUGAGGAAGCCGCCGGGAAAGGGAGCUGCCGCCGCUUGGGCUGGAUCCACCCUGCCGCGCUUGAUUCGCGGCUGCAAGGUCCGAUCUGCUACCGCCCGCCGGAUCCUUGCGCGGGGAUGGUAGAGGAGGUGAGCCCGCCGAAUCCGCCCCAGGGAGGAGCGCGCCGCUGCCGCCGGGUAGGUGGGCCUGGCUAGGGUUUCGGGAGAGGUGGGGAGCACGGGGUGAGAGAGGAAGAGAGGUAGGUGGGAAAGAAUUAGGCUCUAGAUACCAAUUGUUGCCCCAAAAUGAUCUUUUCCAUUAACCACACCCACAAAGGCAGCUUGGGGUACAUAUUUAUAGCCAACCUUGGGUAGGUGGCUUACAAGCUAAGGAAAGCAUCUAAGCAUCUAAAGCAGUAAUUGGUGAUAAGGUGCACGUAGGCAUGAACCACCCACGGAUACAAGUGCUCACAGGCACUACUAAUACAUUAUUCUAUCACCAUCAGGACUUAACUCUAACACAAUUUACAGAGCAAACCACCAAUUGAAGAUAGUUCAGAAGCUGAUGUUUCCACUCCUUGCUUGACUCAGCAUUUGGGCUCAUUAUAUCGACGAAUCCACAUGAUAUGGCAGCAGUUACCCUUUGUAUACCAAUCAGCUCGCACACAUGGGAUCUAGAACCCAAAUCCAACUUCG